GCAACCUCCUCCCCUCGCCGCCGUCCGUUUGCGUCCUCUGGGCAAAGCCCCCGCGUGGAUUUGGCGGCGACGAGGCCUUUGGCGCGCCGGAGCGGCUCAGCUGCGAGGAGGCAAGCGGGGCUGCGUGCGGUCGUCCUCCCGUGCUCGCGCCCUCCCGUGCUCGCGCACGGCACAAAGGCCAUUGCGGUGGCGAACUUGAUGGGGAAGGCGACCUCCGGUGAGGGGCGGCGGAUCCAGGCGCUAGAUGGCCAGAACGGGUGUAUUCGGGGGAGAUCCGGCCGGAUCCGGUCGUCGAGGUGCUCCGGCAACGGACUAGGGGCAGGCACGGGGCGGCUUGGCAUCGGGUGGAGCCCCAUGGCCAUCCAUGGCAGACAGAGAGAGGUUAGAGAGAUAAGAGAAAGGGGAAGCAGAGGGAAAACGAGGCAGCGCGGCGGCGCUCGCCGGCACGGUUGCCGGUGGACGGACUGCGAUGAGGCAGGGAGACGUGGGCGCCAGGUGGUGAUGCGGCCGCUCGGGGGCGAUGACGACGAGGAAGGCCGGAGCACGACUUCUCGGCCGGAUCCAUGGCUCAUGAGCAGAAAGGAGACAUGGAGAUGAAGAAGAGAAAAAGGGAGAAGGGAGGGGUGGUGUGGUGACAAGGAUGGUGCUCGCCGGACCCGAUCGACGGCGGACGGGCGCGGGAGACGAAUGGAUCUGGCACGGCGGAAGUGAAAGGCGGCAACUCCGCCGGCCUGUCUGGCGACACCAACCAGGCCACGAAUGGUGCAACACAGUUGUCACAACCACUCCAGCGAGUACGAAUGAGGACUUGACCACGAAGAAUUGGUGUCGGUACAGAAUGGGGAGCAGUUCUCGCUUUGGAUAUUUUUAGGAUGUUGUUUGGCAGCAUGUUUUUAAGAAAUGCAUAUACAGUAAAGCUCACAAAGGCCAGCUAAUAUGCUUGCAUCUUUGCCAUGAAAUUACAGUAUGACAUGUUGUUCAAAAGAUUUUCGCUCCAUGAGGAGAAAGCUAAAUCCAGUUACAACAUGUUAGUGGAGUUCACAACCUGUAUCUUUGAGUGGUGCAAUGGGCUGCCUGGAUGCUGCGCUAAGGAUAAGCGGGUCAAGGUGCUGGACUGGAAGCACGGGGAGGAGGAUAAUUCCGUCAGGUACAACAGAGCCGUCGACUAAAGAAUUAACCAAACCAAUCGCUUUAUUUGAAGCUCUGAACUGUAGUUAUUUUUUUGUUCAUUAUUUUUUUAUCUUAAUAUGGGAGGAUUAUCACUGUAUAAUAUGAGAUCCUGGCACAUCAACGUUUUAGCAUUGAUAAAUGUGUCACUUUGACUGGGUCUAUUAGGCAGUACUUGUAAGGUCUAUAAUUCUAAGUUCGACCUUUAAUUGGCAACUGAUUACUGGACAUCUGAUUGCUGAUUUAUGUGUAGAGAGAAAACUUAGUUCAGUUGUUAAAAUAGCAGUUGUACUAUUCCUAAAUUUUGUCCGAACAGCUGGUUAUUCUCUUAGACUUGAACUAUUUUCGGUUUCCCUUUCACUGGAUACUUUUAGUGCUAACAAACAGUCUUUUCUUUUAUUGGCAGCAAUUUGCAGUUGGGUGGGUAUUGCUCGUUCUCAUUUACAUAUCUUUUCCGUGGCCUGUGUUGAAACAUAAUAACUUGUUGUAGACAUUGUACAAUGAUCAUAUUUCUCUUUUCAUUCCUUGGCCAGCUUGGAUUUUACCGAUCUGGUACAUGGUUGACAUAGGAACUAAGAUGUGCAAAUACAGUUGGCUAAUGUCAAGCAUACUGGAGGAAAACAGGAGGUUAUGUUAGUUAUUUUUCUUCUUCAAGAGAUUUGGUGGCCCUUCUUGGUAUGUCCAAUUGUUAAAUUUCAAAAUUUAACAAUCCUCCCCACUUGUGCAGGCCUGGCGCAGUGGUGAAGUCCUCCCCACUUGUGCCAAGAGGUCCUGGGUUCGAACCAGCCUCUCUGCAUUGCACUUUGCAGGGGUAAGACUAGGUUCCUAUAAUCCCUCCCCAGACCCCACCUUGUGUGGGAGCUUCUAUGCACUGGGUCUGUCCUUUUCUUGGUAUGUCCAAUUGUUAAAUAUAGCACUGCAUCAACCAGACCUUAAUCCUCCACUUCUGUAAUUUGGACCACAAGAAACUGUAGUUAAAUUGCAGUCUUUUGACAAAGUAAAGCCAUACACCUGAGUGUAGCAUUUUGGAGGACGAGCUUCAUGGAGCUCGUUUUCUGAAAAAUUCAAAAAUCAUAUUUUUAAGUUCCGGAAAAUUUUGGAACAAAUCAUAAACAUUCAUAUGGAUGUGCUUUACAUGUGUAUAAAGUAUGAGGAUGAAAUACAUUAUGAUGAGAGCUACAAAAAAAGACAAAUUCAUGCAUUUUUAUAAUGAACAGUGCAUGUCAUGUUCACCAUUUCAAAAUCACGAUUUUGUCUUUUUUAUGUAGCACUCACCAUAAUGUAUAUCAUCUUAAAAUUUCCCACACAUGUAUAACACAUCCGUAUGAACAUAUAUGAUUUUUUUAGAUUUUUUUGAAACUUCAAAUUUGAUUUUCAUUUUUUUAAAUAAAGAGCUCCAUGGAGCUUGGCCUCCAUUUAGCAUUUUGUCCUACACCUGGAUUAUAUAAGUAAGCAUAGGAGCUAAAGUGCCUUAGAUAGUUGUUGUUGACAGGUUGGUAUUUACGCAUAUUCAUCUAUGAGCAUAGUCAUUUGUGGAUAUAGUCUUCAAGCACCAAUAACUGAAUCCCAAUAGGCAUUUUCCCGGAUCCUAAAUAAUAAGUCUUAAUUUGUGCAGUGUUGUGCAAUCAGCGAAAAAGUAGCCUCUUGAACUCUCGAUAUGGUAUGAGUGCUCAAGAGGAAUCAAGGCUAAAAUUUGUCUUUCAUCGAUUAGUAUCUAUUUAACCAAAUAACAGAGAAUGAAUGACAGCCAUAGCUGCUACGGAUUUGAUAAAUGCAUGUUCUUGGGACGAACCAAGGUAAAGUACGGUUUCAAUAUGUUUCCUUUAAAUCAGGUAAGCAUCUCAUUUGCCCUCUAUUAAUCUGUUAUUUGUGCAUAUAACUUCUUGACUACAGUCUCAUUCUUCAUCACUCGGCCUUUUAAAAUUAGUCCUAUAUUUCAAAGGGAAACAGUGUAAUGUGUUGUCAUAUUCUGGACAUCUUUUUGUUCGACUCA